rnacentral:rRNA from 1 species
UACGUAGGGUGCGAGCGUUGUCCGGAAUUAUUGGGCGUAAAGAGCUUGUAGGCGGUUUGUCGCGUCUGCUGUGAAAAUCCGGGGCUCAGCCCCGGACUUGCAGUGGGUACGGGCAGACUAGAGUGUGGUAGGGGAGACUGGAAUUCCUGGUGUAGCGGUGGAAUGCGCAGAUAUCAGGAGGAACACCGAUGGCGAAGGCAGGUCUCUGGGCCACUACUGACGCUGAGAAGCGAAAGCAUGGGGAGCGAACAGG